UCGGGAAUUUUGCCCAAUGGACGAAAGUCUGAGGCAGCAACCCCGCGUGAGGGACGAAGGCCUUCGGGUCGUAAACCUCUUUUCUCAGGGAAGAUCUAAGACGGUACCUGAGGAAUAAGCCACGGCUAACUACGUGCCAGCAGCCGCGGUAAUACGUAGGUGGCGAGCGUUGUCCGGAUUUACUGGGCGUAAAGAGCGCGCAGGCGGCCGUUCAAGUCCGAUGUGAAAGGUCCCGGCUCAACCGGGAGACGGCAUCGGAGACUGAUCGGCUUGAAGGUGGGAGAGGGUAGCGGAAUUCCCGGUGUAGUGGUGAAAUGCGUAGAUAUCGGGAGGAACACCAGAGGCGAAAGCGGCUACCUGGCCCAUUCUUGACGCUGAGGCGCGAAAGCUAGGGGAGCAAACGGG
rnacentral:rRNA from 1 species